rnacentral:tRNA from 1 species
CGGAAGUUCAAGUCUUCCCAGGCCCACCACACUCAUCGAGUGAGCAUUCGUCUUCUGGUUACGGGGCCAUAGCUCAGCUGGGAGAGCGCGUGCUUUGCAAGCAUGAGGUCGUCGGUUCGAUCCCGUCUGGCUCCACCAGAUGGUUUGAUCACCGGCUACUCAUACCGUCGUCCGCGAAACAUCACUUCGCACUUACUAGUCCGGAUGGACAGUAAGCUGCGUGAUUUCUGACAUCGUAAAGAGGAGAUCGAUCCGAGUUGGAUCGGGCAACAAGUGAUUGUUGCGCGAUACUUCAUUAUCUCCGGAUCAUUUCGGCGCUCGUGCGUCUUCAAGGGUAGCUCACAAGGCUGCAUUGAAAGACGAGCGAGUUGUAAAUGAUCCUUUUAGCGAAGCUUGACCGCCUCGCUAUCGGAACGAUCUUACGAAGCAAGCUGGUCUUUCUAAUCAUUGUCCGGCUGCAGAUAGCGUUCAUCGAGGGCGCGUACCGCAAGGUAGUUCUGCAGACAACAUUCUGCCGAGUGUGUGGACAUUGAUAAUGAGAGC